GCUUCCGAGGAGCGCUGCAAGGCGAGGGUUCGAUCUCUCCCCAGGCUCGGUUUUUUGCAAACUGCGCUCACCUAAC
rnacentral:ncRNA from 1 species